AUACCAUGGGUAUGAGUACUUCUCUCUCACUCUAGCAAAAAUCUAGGUUGUGACAGAGAAAAAAGUGAAGGCUGGAAAAUUCAAGUGUUCUGUUGAGAUAUUGACUGAGGGUUUGAUGUCUUUAUAGCAAAAACUGAAAGGAAGGAUUUAGGAUAUACAUAUUAUCUGCAUGAAAAUUAACUCUUAUAAUUGGGUGUGUGCGCUAAUGAAUGCGGCAAUGAGAGCUGAUGUGUACUGAUUUGGUUCAAGAGAAUUGAUUGCUACAAGUUCUAUUAUGGCACGAAUUUGCCAGUCAUGUGCUAAUGUAUAUGUUGGGUACCUUUCAUUUUAUAUAUCAAUACUUCUUUAGAUAAAGGGGAAUGGUAAUGCUGACGUGUCGAAAGCAGAUUCAAUUUUAAGUUUGCUGUAAAUAUAGAGUGCCACGUCAGCACAGCAGUUUAUUUCACAGAAUCCAUGCGUCUUUUGGUUAAAAGACGGAACCUAAAAUAACUGUCUCGGACUGUAUGAGAAGAGACGCUGCUCUUGCACGCCUUUGGGCUUUAGACAUGACUAUUCAGUAUAUAUAUAAUAAUGUAUGCCGAAUGCAAAUCACUUAUCAAUACAACAAAACCCUCAUCAUGGUGAUCGAAGAAAUAUUGAGGAUUCCAUUUAGGAAAUCCCAACACUGCCAAACAGGUCGAUUUAGUUGGAGGUUAUAAUGAUGCUGGUGAUCACGUAAAAUAUGGAUGGAGUUCACUGUAACAAUGCUUUCAUGGAGAGUAACUGCGUCUGGAUUAUUUUAUUUUUUUGCCAACUCUGAUGAAUAUGAAGACAUUGUCAUUAUAGCUCAUACUUACAUAAAUGUUCUGGACUAUGGUUUGUAUACAAUGAAUUUGUUUAAUCAGCAUUUUAGGAAAAGUUUUGACAACAGUUCUAAAAUUAGAUUAUGUUUAAGGUAGGAGAUGGUUUCAUGUUUAUCAUUAUUGUAGGCAGUGACCGGAGAUGGUCUUAUUGCAGAGAUCGGAGAGGUAAAAUGGAUAAAUUGUGGGUUUCUAUAGAAGAAAUGCGAUGAAGGGAGAAAACGAGUUUCUAUCAUUGAUUACUUUCUCGCCUUUGUACAAGUUUCUAUCAUUGUCUUUACAAGUUUCUUUAUUAGGCUUCGACCUGUUUUCCAACUUUGUUGUCUGUUGAAUGCAUGUUUAGAAAGUGGAGCAGUA